rnacentral:rRNA from 1 species
UAGGGAAUCUUCGGCAAUGGACGAAAGUCUGACCGAGCAACGCCGCGUGAGUGAAGAAGGUUUUCGGAUCGUAAAACUCUGUUGUUAGAGAAGAACAAGGACGUUAGUAACUGAACGUCCCCUGACGGUAUCUAACCAGAAAGCCACGGCUAACUACGUGCCAGCAGCCGCGGUAAUACGGAGGGUGCAAGCGUUAAUCGGAAUUACUGGGCGUAAAGCGAACGCAGGCGGUCUGUCAAGUCGGAUGUGAAAUCCCCGAGCUCAACCUGGGAACUGCAAUCGAAACUGGCAGGCGAGAGUCUUGUAGAGGGGGGUAGAAUUCCAGGUGUAGCGGUGAAAUGCGUAGAGAUCUGGAGGAAUACCGGUGGCGGAGGCGGCCCCAUGGACAAAGACUGACGCUCAGGUGCGAAAGCGUGGGGAGCAAACAGG